CUCAAAGGCAGACAGCUUAUCAUGCAUCCAUCGGGUCACGUUUCGAAAGAGGCAAUAAUGCGGCGCCGGUCAUGUGCAUGCUGGUUACACCCACCCCACCGCGCUUUUCAACGUGUCGCCUCACUUUUGCUUGGACAUCGCUAACGCAAUCAGUGACUGCUUUUCAUCCACCAUACCUGUUCCAUCUGCUCCUCCAGAAAAACUUGGAGGAGUACAGAAAGCACCGCCACGCAACCCGAACUGAAGGAGAGGAAAACAUGCUCCAAGCUUUUCUGUUUGCUACCUGCGACAAACCACGAAAGAAAAGUAAGAGAAGGACCCAAUCGCAUCACAGAAGAAGAAUGGAGCUCUGCCAUCCAAAGCUCAUAACUUUCACGUCAAACCUGGGCUGUCCAGAGAGCCCACGAUGCGGCGGUUAGGCUCGGACUACGAGUCCCCACGUGGGAGCGGCUAGCAGCUCUGCCCUAGGGCAAAGCUUCUCAGGACCUUGUAAUUAAAGUUCUUUGUCUGUC